UACGUAGGGUGCAAGCGUUGUCCGGAAUUAUUGGGCGUAAAGAGCUCGUAGGCGGUCUGUCGCGUCGGCUGUGAAAUCCCGAGGCUCAACCUCGGGUCUGCAGUCGAUACGGGCAAACUAGAGUAUUGCAGGGAGACUGGAAUUCCUGGUGUAGCGGUGAAAUGCGCAGAUAUCAGGAGGAACACCGGUGGCGAAGGCGGGUCUCUGGGCAAUAACUGACGCUGAGGAGCGAAAGCGUGGGAGCGAACAGG
rnacentral:rRNA from 1 species